rnacentral:rRNA from 1 species
AACGAACGCUGGCGGCAUGCCUAACACAUGCAAGUCGAACGAAGGCUUCGGCCUUAGUGGCGCACGGGUGCGUAACGCGUGGGAAUCUGCCCUUUGGUUCGGAAUAACAGCUGGAAACGGCUGCUAAUACCGGAUGAUGACGAAAGUCCAAAGAUUUAUCGCCAGAGGAUGAGCCCGCGUUGGAUUAGGUAGUUGGUGGGGUAAAGGCCUACCAAGCCGACGAUCCAUAGCUGGUCUGAGAGGAUGAUCAGCCACACUGGGACUGAGACACGGCCCAGACUCCUACGGGAGGCAGCAGUGGGGAAUAUUGGACAAUGGGCGCAAGCCUGAUCCAGCAAUGCCGCGUGAGUGAUGAAGGCCCUAGGGUUGUAAAGCUCUUUUACCCGGGAAGAUAAUGACUGUACCGGGAGAAUAAGCCCCGGCUAACUCCGUGCCAGCAGCCGCGGUAAUACGGAGGGGGCUAGCGUUGUUCGGAAUUACUGGGCGUAAAGCGCACGUAGGCGGCUUUGUAAGUCAGAGGUGAAAGCCUGGAGCUCAACUCCAGAACUGCCUUUGAGACUGCAUCGCUUGAAUCCAGGAGAGGUCAGUGGAAUUCCGAGUGUAGAGGUGAAAUUCGUAGAUAUUCGGAAGAACACCAGUGGCGAAGGCGGCUGACUGGACUGGUAUUGACGCUGAGGUGCGAAAGCGUGGGGGAGCAAACAGG